UUGAACACAUUGACACUGACCAGAUAAGCAUGCUCAGUUGAUAACAAAAAUCAAAGAAGUGUACAGAAUAAUUAAAAGGAAAAAAAAAAAAAAGAUAAGCUUUCAGGUNAAAAAUCAAAGAAGUGUACAGAAUAAUUAAAAGGAAAAAAAAAAAAAAGAUAAGCUUUCAGGUGGUACUAUCUACGACUGGCAUAAAUGUAAGCCACAACCAUCUGCCACAAGGUUGAGCUUCGGAUAUACAAAAUUAACUAUUAAAAAUAAUUGUGAUCCUGAAAUAUUUUGAAGAUAAUAAAAAA
rnacentral:lncRNA from 1 species